CGCUCCUUGAAAUUCAAUGAGAGUAAAUGGCAAUAUGCACUCUGGUGAAACGCUACACGUAGUGAAACAGUUGUCGAAUCUGCGAUUAGAGACGGUAUGUAAAUAUUAAAUAUAUUAUUUUUGAUUGAAUAAAAAUACAAAGUAUAUGUGCAAUAAUGUACUAUAAAGUAUGUAUUCAUUGCUAUGUCCAUUCCCCGGUGUAUAUGCAUUGGAUUUGGAAUAGAUUCCAAUUCCUAACAAGAUUUGUGUGUACUUUUAAUAAUUUGCAACUCUUGGAUGAACCUAGUUGUUGCAAGGUUGUUGCCUUCUUGGUAGCAUAAUUAAUAUCCAUUACCACCCAGGGUUUGUCAUGUUUGUAUGAAUAUGUUUACAUGCACUGGACUCUGGUAGCUUAUCUUAUCAAACAGGGUCCCCAGUAAUUGGGAGUAUAAAUUCUGUUGCGGUAACCCUGCCACUUGUACUUUAUAUGUCUGUCUGUUUAUUUGAUGUACUUAUCAUGGGUUCAAAACUUUUACUUUGAAAUUUUAAAACAAGAAAUAACAAUAAUACUACUACUAAUAAUAAUUAAUUAGAUUUAUCAUUAUAAUUGUCAGGUUAACCUAUAGUAGUGACUAUGGUAAUAUACAUAUCUUAAUUAUUCUACAGAAUAAUUCCAUGGAUGAUGUGUCAAUCUAGCAUGAACUAAUUUACACAGAAUACAAAGUGUCAUUUGGCAAAGAUAUUAAUUGUUCCAAUGAUGCCAUUACUGUUGCUACCAAAGUCGCUGAGAAACUGUUGAAAGUGGAACAUUGACUACAACUCCAGAAAGAAUUUCAAUGGACGGUGCUGCAAACCAGAGCUUUUCAAAUAAUAUGACAAGUCUAGAAAUUUAAAAAAAUGUAUUUGGGCAUCAAAAAUUUAGACCAGGACAAUUUGAUGCUAUCGAAGCUCUUGUACCCGGAAAAGAUACCAUUGUUGUGGUCCCAACUGGCUGCCAAAACAAAGGCACCGGUUUGAGUUGAUUCAUUAGGUAUAUCUACAGAAAUAAAAAAAACCCCAGGAGUUAUCCAAACUGACAUAUUAUAUAGGUGCAAAAUUUUGGAUGAAGCUCUGACUGGCUAUUUUUAGCACAACUAUAUCGGGCCAUAUUUAAUGUAUC